rnacentral:rRNA from 1 species
GAGUUUGAUUCUGGCUCAGGAUGAACGCUGGCGGCAUGCCUAACACAUGCAAGUUGAACGAGAAGUUCUGGAGGGAGUCUUCGGACGAACGAAGGAAUGGAAAGUAGCGAACGGGUGAGUAACGCGUGGGCAACCAACCUUACACAGGGGGAUAACACAGAGAAAUCUGUGCUAAUACCGCAUAAGCGCACAGUACUGCAUAGUACGGUGUGAAAAACUCCGGUGGUGUAAGACGGGCCCGCGUCUGAUUAGCUAGUUGGUAGGGUAAAAGCCUACCAAGGCAACGAUCAGUAGCCGACCUGAGAGGGUGAUCGGCCACAUUGGGACUGAGACACGGCCCAAACUCCUACGGGAGGCAGCAGUGGGGGAUAUUGCACAAUGGAGGAAACUCUGAUGCAGCAAUGCCGCGUGAAGGAAGAAGGUCUUCGGAUUGUAAACUUCUAUCAGCAGGGAAGAAAAUGACGUACCUGACUAAGAG